rnacentral:piRNA from 1 species
UAGAUGCCUUUAUUUUUCAUU